ensembl:lncRNA EWSAT1 Ewing sarcoma associated transcript 1
UCCAGGAUCCAGCCUCCCGAUCACCGCGCUAGUCCUCGCCCUGCCUGGGCUUCCCCAGAGACGGGAGCUUGGGUGGGGGACCCUGGACCCGAAGCCAAGGCUGAACUGGUGUGCCAAGCCCAGGGAGCAACCAAGUCCCCAACUCUUUCCCUGCCCUUCCCGCAGGCUGAGCAGAAAACCAGGAAAUGGAUGGACUCCACCUCCGCAGCCACGCCUGCCCGUUUGCGCUUACUGAACAGAGGUCCUCAGGAACGUGAAAAUGAAGGGAGGGUUACUAACUUUAUGCCAUCUUCAAACCAGAAGAUCUUAGAUUAGUAAGAUCAUGUUGGCCAUGGCAUGGAGAAUGGGCUGGAGGUGGAGAGACUGGAGGUUGGAAGUCCAGUUAGGAGAUUGCUCCUGCGCUGGGGAGUUGGUGUUAGGACAGAAGAUCCAAGACGCGUUUCAGAGAGCCCCUCUUCUUGGGCCUGCGAUUCCUCACCUGGAAGGGAGAAGAGUGGACUUCCUGCCUAGAGAACACCUUGGUAAACUCUUUGUGGUUCCUGUCAUGAGAAGGUGUGCAGCUUAGGGAAAAAGCCUGUGAGCUCUGGAAUCAGAUGGAACUGGAUAUGAAUUUCCAUUUAAACUGCCUUGGGGUUCAUGUUGCAGCAUCAAACAGGGAUGGAAGAUGCAUCUUGCUUUAGCAGCAGGAGCCUGGAAAGCAGCUGAAGCCCUGGAGGGUGCCUGGCACACAGAAUCUUGUGCUGAGCCCGGAGCACAAUGGGAGCGGGCUGGCGGGGUGGGUUCACAGCUGGACUGGGAGCAGCAGACAUACAGGCCGUAGGCACAGACAUAUAAAGACAGUCAUGCAGAUUGCAGGAUGCCUGAGAGCACAGACUCUCACAUGCACAAAUACGUGCAUGAUCGCCAGUGUGCAUCCAGACAGCCCCACAUGCAUGCACACGCAUGCACACAUGUGAUGUGUACAUAGAUGGACACAUGUCUAUGCCCACAAACACUGCAGAGACACAGAAGUGUCUGGCAAGGAACACUAUUUUGUCCUCAAUUUUCUGCCAGUGAGAGUCUACUGACUCCAUCUCUGAAAUGUCUCUACUUAUUGUCCCUCUUCUCCACCUGCACCACAUCCCUAGUCCCUGAAACUCCCACCGAGACCCCUGGGCAAUAGCAAAGUCUGCACAGGAUUCCUGCUCCGCCUCUACCCCACCCUUAAGCCCAUCCUACAUGCAAGAGCAGGAGUUAUCUGGGUAUCAAGCAAAUCUGACCACAUCACCUCCCCACUGCUUAAAACCCUUUCCUACAGGAUGAAGUUGAAAUCACUUGACAUCCCAUAUAAGGCCCUUGACUGUCUGGCAUCAGCCAUAGUCUGGCCUCAGGCCCUGGCAUGGAGUCCCCUGGACUCAGUGCUCUGGCUGAGGGCCUCCAGGAUGAAGAUACCCUGUGCAAAGCCUCACACUUUUGCUGUUGCUGGGCUCACUGUGUGAAAUUCCCUCCUCCCUCCUUCCACCUUCCCUAUGCUGAACUGCCACUCCUCCAUCCUCCAUGGCCAGCUAAGCCAACACCUCCCCACUUCCUCCUGACAACCCAGGCACAGCCACUGACCUGUCCCAUGGCUGUCACAGCCCUUUCUUGGGCUCUCAAUGGUAUCAUUGUCACCUGUGUGCUCAUGAGCCUCUGCCACUCAACUCCAAGCACAUCAAAUAAAGAGCUCAAAACAUAUCGGAUACUCAA